UACGGGGGGGGCAAGCGUUGUUCGGAAUUACUGGGCGUAAAGGGCUCGUAGGCGGCCAACUAAGUCAGACGUGAAAUCCCUCGGCUUAACCGGGGAACUGCGUCUGAUACUGGGUGGCUUGAGUUCGGGAGAGGGAUGCGGAAUUCCAGGUGUAGCGGUGAAAUGCGUAGAUAUGCGGAGGAACACCGAUGGCGAAGGCAGUCCCCUGGGCCUGUACUGACGCUCAUGCACGAAAGCGUGGGGAGCAAACAGG
rnacentral:rRNA from 1 species